GAAGACUCCAUUUUUCAGUUUUGGAAUACAACGUUUGACUCUUCGUCUUAUUUAAAAAAAAUAUGAUUACUAUUUUUAUUGUUAUUAGAUAAUAAAACAUAAAUCAUACUUUAUGCAUGACUAAUUAUUUUUAAUUUCAUAAAAUUUAAAUAGGUCAAAUGGUCAAACGUUGAACACAUAAACC
rnacentral:pre_miRNA from 1 species